rnacentral:rRNA from 1 species
UGUACACACCGCCCGUCACACCGUGGGAGUCGAACUCAUUCGAAGCGGGGAUGCUAAAAUAGCUUCCUUCCACAGUGGAUUUGGCGACUGGGGUGAAGUCGUAACAAGGUAACCGUAGGAGAACCUGCGGGUGGGUCACCUCCUU